rnacentral:rRNA from 1 species
GCGGCAGGCUUAACACAUGCAAGUCGAGCGGGGGAAGGUAGCUUGCUACCGGACCUAGCGGCGGACGGGUGAGUAAUGCUUAGGAAUCUGCCUAUUAGUGGGGGACAACAUCUCGAAAGGGAUGCUAAUACCGCAUACGUCCUACGGGAGAAAGCAGGGGAUCUUCGGACCUUGCGCUAAUAGAUGAGCCUAAGUCGGAUUAGCUAGUUGGUGGGGUAAAGGCCUACCAAGGCGACGAUCUGUAGCGGGUCUGAGAGGAUGAUCCGCCACACUGGGACUGAGACACGGCCCAGACUCCUACGGGAGGCAGCAGUGGGGAAUAUUGGGCAAUGGGGGGAACCCUGAUCCAGCCAUGCCGCGUGUGUGAAGAAGGCCUUAUGGUUGUAAAGCACUUUAAGCGAGGAGGAGGCUACUUUAGUUAAUACCUAGAGAUAGUGGACGUUACUCGCAGAAUAAGCACCGGCUAACUCUGUGCCAGCAGCCGCGGUAAUACAGAGGGUGCGAGCGUUAAUCGGAUUUACUGGGCGUAAAGCGUGCGUAGGCGGCUUAUUAAGUCGGAUGUGAAAUCCCCGAGCUUAACUUGGGAAUUGCAUUCGAUACUGGUGAGCUAGAGUAUGGGAGAGGAUG